CAAGUCGAACGCGAAAGUUCCCUUCGGGGGGCAAGUAGAGUGGCGCACGGGUGAGUAACACGUAGGUAAUCUACCUUUGGAUUGGGAAUAACCACCGGAAACGGUGGCUAAUACCGAAUAAUGCAGCGGCACCUAAUGGUGACAGUUGUUAAAGCGGGGGAUCGUAAGACCUCGCGUCUGAAGAGGAGCCUGCGGCAGAUUAGCUAGUUGGUAAGGUAACGGCUUACCAAGGCGAUGAUCUGUAGCCGGCCUGAGAGGGCGGUCGGCCACACUGACACUGACAUACGGGUCAGACUCCUACGGGAGGCAGCAGUCGGGAAUUUUGGGCAAUGGGCGAAAGCCUGACCCAGCAACGCCGCGUGAAGGAUGAAAUCCUUCGGGAUGUAAACUUCGCAAGAACGGGAAGAAUAAGUAAGAGUUAAUAUCUCUUACGAUGACGGUACUGUUUGUAAGCUCCGGCUAACUCCGUGCCAGCAGCCGCGGUAAUACGGGGGGAGCAAGCGUUGUUCGGAUUUACUGGGCGUAAAGGGCGCGUAGGCGGCCACCGCAAGUCGACUGUGAAAUCUCCGGGCUUAACCCGGAAAGGUCAGCCGAUACUGCGGGGCUAGAGUGCAGAAGGGGCAACUGGAAUUCUCGGUGUAGCGGUGAAAUGCGUAGAUAUCGAGAGGAACACCUGCGGCGAAGGCGGGUUGCUGGGCUGACACUGACGCUGAUGCGCGAAAGCUAGGGGAGCGAACGGGAUUAGAUACCCCGGUAGUCCUAGCCUUAAACGAUGAAUGCUUGGUGUCUGGGGUUUUAUAGUCCCCGGGUGCCGUCGCUAACGCUUUAAGCAUUCCGCCUGGGGAGUACGGUCGCAAGACUGAAACUCAAAGGAAUUGACGGGGACCC
rnacentral:rRNA from 1 species